rnacentral:lncRNA from 1 species
GAGUCAUCCUGCCCAUUCUAGGGUAUAAAGCAACCUUCCCCAGAAUGGACUGCAAGCACUUCUCCCUCUCUUCCCUUCUAAGAACCAGAAAUUCAGAAGCAAUCCCACCAUGAUGAGAACAGCUGCACAAGGAAAUCACAAAGGAUCCAGGCUUCUUCUAACUUCUGGCUCUUCCACCUUUUUAGCAUGUGACUUUUGCCCUCAUUGGCACAAGAUGACUGCUUAACCCCCAGUCACUGAAUCUUUCUUCCAGGGAAGGGGAAAGGCAAAAGACUAAAGGUAAAGAUACGUGCCUACUGAACCUUCCCCUUUUUUCAGGAAAAGAAUAGCAUUCCUGGACUUACAUCCCACUGGCAAGAAUUCUGUUACUCUGCAAGAAA